rnacentral:rRNA from 1 species
CUGGCGGCAUGCCUCAUACAUGCAAGUCGAACGAGAUCCUCGGAUCUAGUGGCGCACGGGUGAGUAACAUGUGGGAAUCUACCUGAAGGUUCGGAAUAACUGCGGGAAACUGUAGCUAAUACCGGAUGUGUCUGAAAAGAGAAAGAUUUAUCGCCUUCAGAUGAGCCCGCACUAGAUUAGCUAGUUGGUGAGGUAACUGCUCCACCAAGGCUACGAUCUAUAGCUGAUUUGAGAGGAUGAUCAGCCACACUGGGACUGAGACACGGCCCAGACUCCUACGGGAGGCAGCAGUAGGGAAUAUUGGACAAUGGGGGAAACCCUGAUCCAGCAAUGCCGCGUGAGUGAAGAAGGCCUUAGGGUUGUAAAACUCUUUCAUCAAUGAUGAUAAUGACAUUAGUUGAAGAAGAAGCUCCGGCUAACUUCGUGCCAGCAGCCGCGGUAAUACGAAGGGGGCUAGCGUUGUUCGGAAUCACUGGGCGUAAAGCGUAUGUAGGCGGAUCAAAAAGUUAGAUGUGAAAUCCCUGGGCUCAACCCAGGAACUGCAUUUAAAACUAGUGAUCUAGAAAUUGGUAAGGGUUAGUAGAAUUUCCAGUGUAGAGGUGAAAUUCGUAGAUAUUGGAAAGAAUACCAGAAGCGAAGGCGACUAACUAGGCCAUUUUUGACGCUGAGAUACGAAAGCGUGGGUAGCAAACAGGAUUAGAUACCCUGGUAGUCCACGCAGUAAACGAUGAGUGCUAGUCGCUGGGACAAUAGUUUCAGUGUCGUAGCUAACGCAUUAAGCACUCCGCCUGG